UGGGGAAUAUUGCGCAAUGGGGGGAACCCUGACGCAGCCAUGCCGCGUGAAUGAAGAAGGUCUUAGGGUUGUAAAGUUCUUUCGGUAUUGAGGAAGGUUGAUGUGUUAAUAGCACAUCAAAUUGACGUUAAAUACAGAAGAAGCACCGGCUAACUCCGUGCCAGCAGCCGCGGUAAUACGGAGGGUGCGAGCGUUAAUCGGAAUAACUGGGCGUAAAGGGCACGCAGGCGGUUAUUUAAGUGAGGUGUGAAAGCCCCGGGCUUAACCUGGGAAUUGCAUUUCAGACUGGGUAACUAGAGUACUUUAGGGAGGGGUAGAAUUCCACGUGUAGCGGUGAAAUGCGUAGAGAUGUGGAGGAAUACCGAAGGCGAAGGCAGCCCCUUGGGAAUGUACUGACGCUCAUGUGCGAAAGCGUGGGGAGCAAACAGGAUUAGAUACCCUGGUAGUCCACGCUGUAAACGCUGUCGAUUUGGGGGUUGGGGUUUAACUCUGGCGCCCGUAGCUAACGUGAUAAAUCGACCGCCUGGGGAGUACGGCCGCAAGGUUA
rnacentral:rRNA from 1 species